rnacentral:rRNA from 1 species
AUGUUAAUGCUCCAUAGCAGAGAGUUUAGGUUUACAGCAAGCAGCGACUACCAAAUUUUGCAUGUAGGAUAUAAACGAGAAAUUGUAAUGGAGAUGGUUGCCAUCAGUUCCAUUUUGUUGCACAUCUCAAGCCUUGCCACUCUGAUCGUCGCACUGGCCAGAUCCGGCCGGGGGAGCCGCCAUAGAGCCGACACAUCAGCGGCACAGCAGCAGCCCGACAGAAGGUGGGUGCUCGAGCUCAUCCAGCAGCUCGUCAUCGACCAGGAGGCCUCUACCUCGACUGCAACCGUCCGUGGAUCUCUAUUCUGCAUGGAUUGGCGAUAUUAUUUUGGCUUGGAUUCAAUGGGGCAAUCUGGCGAUAUGAGUAUUUGUACAAACCUCCGAGGACCUCAAGUUCACAUGGUUCAUGCUUCUUUACGUAUGAACUCUACAUAUGACAACCAGCAGAUCAAUUGUUUCAGGCCUGAUGAGUAUCAAGCAGAUUGGGUUCUCCAAGGAAUGCCAAUACGAAUUCACUUUUUGCAACACACAUGCUCAGCCAAUUGGGCAGCCAGCUGGGAGGUAGACAGUACCUUUUUCCUCUUUCACAAAUAA